rnacentral:rRNA from 1 species
ACGCUGGCGGCAGGCCUAACACAUGCAAGUCGAGCGGUAGAGAGAAGCUUGCUUCUCUUGAGAGCGGCGGACGGGUGAGUAAUGCCUAGGAAUCUGCCUGGUAGUGGGGGAUAACGUCCGGAAACGGACGCUAAUACCGCAUACGUCCUACGGGAGAAAGCAGGGGACCUUCGGGCCUUGCGCUAUCAGAUGAGCCUAGGUCGGAUUAGCUAGUUGGUGGGGUAAUGGCUCACCAAGGCGACGAUCCGUAACUGGUCUGAGAGGAUGAUCAGUCACACUGGAACUGAGACACGGUCCAGACUCCUACGGGAGGCAGCAGUGGGGAAUAUUGGACAAUGGGCGAAAGCCUGAUCCAGCCAUGCCGCGUGUGUGAAGAAGGUCUUCGGAUUGUAAAGCACUUUAAGUUGGGAGGAAGGGCAGUAAAUUAAUACUUUGCUGUUUUGACGUUACCGACAGAAUAAGCACCGGCUAACUCUGUGCCAGCAGCCGCGGUAAUACAGAGGGUGCAAGCGUUAAUCGGAAUUACUGGGCGUAAAGCGCGCGUAGGUGGUUCGUUAAGUUGGAUGUGAAAUCCCCGGGCUCAACCUGGGAACUGCAUUCAAAACUGACGAGCUAGAGUAUGGUAGAGGGUGGUGGAAUUUCCUGUGUAGCGGUGAAAUGCGUAGAUAUAGGAAGGGACACCAGUGGCGAAGGCGACCACCUGGACUGAUACUGACACUGAGGUGCGAAAGCGUGGGGAGCAAACAGGAUUAGAUACCC